UUGCCGGCGAGCGGCGGACGGGUGAGUAAUGCCUGGGGAUCUGCCCAGUCGAGGGGGAUAACUACUGGAAACGGUAGCUAAUACCGCAUACGCCCUACGGGGGAAAGCAGGGGACCUUCGGGCCUUGCGCGAUUGGAUGAACCCAGGUGGGAUUAGCUAGUUGGUGAGGUAAUGGCUCACCAAGGCGACGAUCCCUAGCUGGUCUGAGAGGAUGAUCAGCCACACUGGAACUGACACACGGUCCACACUCCUACGGGAGGCAGCAGUGGGGAAUAUUGCACAAUGGGGGAAACCCUGAUGCAGCCAUGCCGCGUGUGUGAAGAAGGCCUUCGGGUUGUAAAGCACUUUCAGCGAGGAGGAAAGGUUGGUAGCUAAUAACUGCCAGCUGUGACGUUACUCGCAGAAGAAGCACCGGCUAACUCCGUGCCAGCAGCCGCGGUAAUACGGAGGGUGCAAGCGUUUAUCGGAAUUACUGGGCGUAAAGCGCACGCAGGCGGUUGGAUAAGUUAGAUGUGAAAGCCCCGGGCUCAACCUGGGAAUUGCAUUUAAA
rnacentral:rRNA from 1 species